AGCACUCUGCCCCAUACAACAUUGCAGGUCUAACCACAGCUCUAUAAAAUUUCCCCUUGAGUUUCUGUGGGACUUUCUUGCCACACAGGACUCCUGAUGCAAGCCUCCACUUUGACCACCCCGCUCCUAUGCGAUGAGUGACGUCUCCGUCAAUCUCUCCGUUCCCCUGGAUCACUGACCCAAGAUAUCUGACACUGUCCCUCUUGGCGAUUACCUGAGAUCCAAUCAUCACGUCCCUGCCUACUUAGCUCAGCUCGGCGCUAAUCUUGCACUCCCAGGUAUUUUGUCUUAGAUCUGCUUAUUUUGAAACCCUUAGAGUUGAGAGUCUGUCUCUAUACCUCUAACCUCUCAUUAACACCGGCCUUCGUCUCGUCUAUCAAGACUAUGUCAUCAGCAAAUAGCAUACACCAAGGCACAUUCCCUUUGAAUAUGUCGGGUAAGAGCAUCCAUCACCAAGGCAAACAAGAGAGGGCUAAGCGCCGAUCCUUGAUAGAGCCCCAUAACCACUAGAAAAUGGUCUGAGUCGCCACCCACCGUCCUAACC
rnacentral:lncRNA from 1 species